AUACAAUGAUGUCGACACCUCCUUAAUAGCUCCUUAUAUCUUUCCCAAGCUUCAUACAAGGAUUCUCCUUCCUACUGCACAAAGGAUGUAAUUUCUCCUCUCAGCUU